rnacentral:rRNA from 1 species
UACAGAGGUCUCAAGCGUUGUUCGGAUUCAUUGGGCGUAAAGGGUGUGUAGGUGGCGCCGUAAGUCGGGUGUGAAAUUUCGGAGCUUAACUCCGAAACUGCAUUCGAUACUGCGGUGCUUGAGGACUGGAGAGGAGACUGGUAAUUUACGGUGUAGCAGUGAAAUGCGUAGAUAUCGUAAGGAAGACCAGUGGCGAAGGCGGGUCUCUGGACAGUUCCUGACACUGAGACACGAAGGCCAGGGAGCAAACAGG